AAGAGACAUAGUGAUAAAUUAUAGUUUCUUGGCUGAGAUGCAGAGAGAAAAAAACCCUGAAUCUGGAGAAAAUACUUCCGCUCAAACCCUAAGAAUGAAAAAUAAAAUUAAAUGAUCUCCUUUUGAUAAUGACGGUCUUCUUCAAACAAAUCCUGGAUUCCUGAUCAAUCAAGCCACUCCGAGGUGCGAAUCUGUGGGAAGAUCCUUUCUUUUUUACCUGUUUUUAGCAAUAAACAUGAAGAAAGCGUGGUCGGUUGGAUAGGUUCGGAAACAUGAGAGGAGAACUCAAAGCAGACAAUGAAAAUGAUACCUGGUCGUAGGGGAUCAUUUGAAGGAGUGGUAAUUAUUAUCACUGUGUAAACCUCUACUGAGCAACAAAUUGAGAUAUGCCUAAUCCUUAUGAUCCAUGUCAAAUUACCAUUGGUUCUAUUUAGUUGAUUUUCCCUUGAACCAUGUUAGUGAAAACACAUGGAGUCUACAUGGAUAAUUGUGUUUAUGUCGACAAAAACGAUAGGCAUAAGAGAAAAUGAAGUACAAAUUAAAUCAGUUUGUGCACAUUGGAUACUAAUCAAUUAUAACUUUUGCGGUUAACCAGUAAAUUUUCUAUUGUGUGUGAGUGACUAGGUUUGGAAAUGUCGGAAUACAUGCACCUUUGUUACACGUUGUCCUUUCAUUCCAUGUUAGGAUGAGUGUAAAUUUGGUAAACGUUAGCCCAAAUUACUGUAUCAUGCCAGCAAUUCAAUUAUACUCUUAUCAGAUCACAUAGGAAUGCUGUACAGUUCAUAGUAACUCUCUUCAAAUUUUAUGGUGAUUUGGGCGCAACAUGAUCCACCUGUUAAAGAGGCAUUUGAUGUUGGUUACAGUAACAUAGACGUAUACAUUUUCAUCAAAAAGCUCCAACAAUAGAAGUUGAGAAUAUGAAAAGUUAAGUUAAUGUACAUUGGUGCUGAGGGAACUUUCAAGUCUGCAAGAUUCUUACAUAUUGCAGGUUUUUACUUAAUGUUGAUGGUGUUUUGGAGUAUGUGACGUAUGCUAUAAAGCUUGAACAUUGAUCAUCAGCGGAUUAGUUUCUCAUCUGAUCCAAUAUCAUUUUUGUUCAAUAUUUAUGCAGGCUCUUUAGUAUCUUUCAUUUCUUAGUUCUCAUCUUUGGGCUAAUCCUAUUUGCGCAGCCAAAGUCAUGCCAUGAAUGGAACUGGAGGCUAUGUGAAUGUACCCCCAAUAGAGACCAUUUGAGCAAUAGGAGAGGGUUGACGUUAGUGGACGGUGUUGAAGCCAAAAUCCAAAAUCAUACCAUGAAUGGAAUGAGCGGCUACAUGAACAUACCCCCAAUAGAGACCAUUUGAGCAAUAGAAGAAGGUUGGCGUUAGUGAAAGGUGUUGAGUGCAACUACAUUCUCACAUGUUUGUCUGUUUUGUAGAAAACCUCUUAAUACAUUUUUAAUUGAUGAUCCUUUAAAAGAAAA